UACAGAGGUCUCAAGCGUUGUUCGGAUUCAUUGGGCGUAAAGGGUGCGUAGGCGGCGCGGUAAGUCGGGUGUGAAAUCUCGGAGCUUAACUCCGAAACUGCAUUCGAUACUGCCGUGCUUGAGGACUGGAGAGGAGACUGGAAUUUACGGUGUAGCGGUGAAAUGCGUAGAUAUCGUAAGGAAGACCAGUGGCGAAGGCGGGUCUCUGGACAGUUCCUGACGCUGAGGCAUGAAGGUCAGGGGAGCAAACGGG
rnacentral:rRNA from 1 species